GUCCCUCUUUCUGCCUCGUCUUCUCUCAUGCCCCCAGACAGCUAUGCCAACAGUUUUCACUGUGAUAUGGUUGUGCUUGAGGUGUACGUGACUCAUCACAGGGGAUUUCUAUCGCUGGAACAAUCCUUGACUUAGUGAGCAGCUGCCUAGUUACAAAUGACACACCUGGUAGCUGGGGAAGAAGGUGUUCUGCUGUGCCUGUUGCUCUGGGAGCUGAUGGGAUCCUGCACUGCUGGGGAAGGAGGAACAAAGCUAUCAGGUCACCUGUCUGCUUGCGGAUGAUGCUAACAAGCACCAACGUGGGCUGCUUGGACAUCCAGACACGGCUCCAGGGCUGCUGCGGUCUGCAAAUCCACCCAAGAGACUCAGGAAAUUUUGCCAGAUGGAACUCUCAGAAAAACCAGCAGUUGUGGACAAGGGGCCUUCAGGCCUGAGUUGAGGUCUGCUCCUUUUACCAAGCCAAACCAGAAAGCCCCAGUUUCUGGACAGUCCAUAUGGCAGAGCUGUGGAGGCUGGGACAUGAAAAGCCUGGAGAUUACCCAAUAAGGUGGUGAGCGACUGCAAGAGAAGAAAAAAGAAACAAGGAAGAGAAUUUAUGUUAGAG
ensembl:lncRNA